rnacentral:lncRNA from 1 species
CUUUUAUUUUACUCCAUGAAGGAAGGACUACAAAAUAGGGAAGGUUUGAUACAGGGCAGCCAUAAUCCCUUGAGCAUACCAGCACAUACACAGGAGCCCUGCCCAGUUGCUAUGCCAACCCUGAUGGUCCUAGACAGAAGACCAUCAAGAUCACAAAGAACUUGCAUAUGGGAGUGGAUUCAGCACGGACUGGAACAAAGGACAAUAAUCAGCUCUUCCCUCUGGGGGCAGGAAACUGCAAACUCCCCUCUGUCACCUGGAAAGUACUCAUGGGGAGGGGGAAAGGGGGAACCAGCCAGGUGACAGGACACUCAGGUUACCACCACAACUCCUCCCUCAACCCCUCCUUUCUGUGAU